GAUAUAAUAUAUAUUACAGUAUAGCUCCCCGUGCAUGACAAGCAUAAGGAGGUACUUAACCUAUAGCCUAGGGCCUAGGCUAGAAUAUUAUAAAAAAAUCACUUAGAUGCAACAACAUGUUUAGGAAAUUCGAGACAUCAAAAAUGCCCAAUUUUUAAGGUGGUGCGUAAUCGGCUGUAUAUACAGGGUGUAACAAAAAUACAGGUCAUAAAUUAAAUCACAUA